GCAUAUCAAUAAGCGGAGGAAAAGAAACCAACAGGGAUUGCCUCAGUUAACGGCGAAGUGAAGCGGCAACAGCUCAAAUUUGAAAUCUGGCCCCCUCGGGGUCCGAGUUGUAAUUUGUAGAAGAUGCUUCGGGUGUGGCCCCGGUCUAAGUUCCUUGGAACAGGACGUCACAGAGGGUGAGAGAUCCCGUAUGUGACCGGUGGCCUCCCCCGUGUGAAGCUCUUUCGACGAGUCGAGUUGUUUGGGAAUGCAGCUCAAAAUGGGUGGUAAAUUUCAUCUAAAGCUAAAUAUUGGCCAGAGACCGAUAGCGCACAAGUAGAGUGAUCGAAAGAUGAAAAGCACUUUGGAAAGAGGGUUAAACAGUACGUGAAAUUGUUGAAAGGGAAGCGCUUGCAACCAGACUUGCGCGCGGUCGAUCAUCCGGGGUUCUCCCCGGUGCACUCGGCCGUGCGCAGGCCAGCAUCGGUUUGGGCGGCCGGACAAAGGCCUCGGGAAUGUGGCUCCUUCGGGAGUGUUAUAGCCCGAGGUGCAAUGCGGCCAGCCCGGACCGAGGACCGCGCUUCGGCUAGGAUGCUGGCGUAAUGGUUGUAAGCGGCCCGUCUUGAAACACGGACCAAGGAGUCUAACAUCUAUGCGAGUGUUUGGGUGGCAAACCCAUCCGCGUAAUGAAAGUGAACGGAGGUGAGAACCCUUAAGGGCGCAUCAUCGACCGAUCCUGAUGUCUUCGGAUGGAUUUGAGUAAGAGCAUAGCUGUUGGGACCCGAAAGAUGGUGAACUAUGCCUGAAUAGGGUGAAGCCAGAGGAAGACUCUGGUGGAGGCUCGCAGCGGUUUCUGACGUGCAAAUCGAUCGUCAAAUUUGGGCAUAGGGGCGAAAGACUAAUCGAACCAUCUAGUAGCUGGUUCCUGCCGA
rnacentral:rRNA from 1 species